UACCAAUUAUUUUUAUAAACAAACUAAGGUUAGGGUUAGGGUUAAAAAAUUAGGUUUAGGGUCAAGGUUAAAAUGUGGUUAUAGGAUCGACUACUUACAACUAGCUAGCGCAGAUGCGCGAGUGCGCGCACCGGGACCACUGCGCGCUAGUAGUACUGGAUAACUUUAUACUUGUUUCAGCCCAUUAGCCGUCAACAUGAUCAAACCAAAUCUUUCCGAUGGAGGUGUUGGUGGGCGAAAUAAGCUGGGAGGAUUGAAAAGGCGCAGAUAAAUUAGCAAUUAUAAAAAUUUCACAUGAUUUAAAACUUUUAUGUUAUUAUGGACAUUAUGGCGAAGGAAGAGGACCCACAAAAUUCCUCUACUUUUUGGUUUAAGACUUACUGCAUAUAAUCUGUGACUACAGUAACAAACUUUUCCCCCGAUAUCUGUUAUAGUUUUAAUUAAAGUUGCGCACCAUAUAUAUUUUAUUCCUGUAUUUCAUUCUAUUUGAUCGGCCUGGUAGGAUGAAAAGCAAAGAUAGUCUAGAUAAGAACUGAAACGGAAGCAAUUAAAUACCAACAAUGUAUCUAAUCAAACACCUCACUGAUUCCUGCCAUAAACUGCCCUACAUUUUGCAAUAAAUUAAUUACAUACUACGGCUAAGUUGAGGUUAUUGAUACGGCCAAUUAAACACUGAUAAUCUGGUCUAAUUUGAGUUCCCUUAUUGUUUACUGUGAACACCAAACAAGUGAAAUGGCCUGCUAGAAAUAACAGUCAAAUGAGCUUCAAACAACAGCCUACUGUCUUAAAAAUCGCGUCCACCCAUUAUAAGCCCGUAAAGUUAUAUUCUAUAAUCACAGCUGUCGACCAGGGUUGGUCUGAUUAAUUACAAACAUCAACAUUAAUAACUAAAUGCUAUUUUAUAUGGGAUCUUUCCAUUCUAUAUCUUCUGUGUGUAUAAUAUUGUAUAUAUAAUAUAUAUGUGUUGUUAGCCUUAGCAGCGGUGCCAGUGGGACAUCUAUUCCGACAGACAUGAAUUGAGGCUAAGAUUUUCAUGGCAUGAUGACAGAUUCUUGAGAGAAAUAAUAGCAGUAUGUGAUACAGGUGCAUGAAUCUGGUGCCACAGUUAAGCCCUAAAAUAUUUCACAUGAUCUUAACA